rnacentral:tRNA from 1 species
GUUGUGGCUCAGUGGUAGAGUGCUUGCCUAGCAUGCAUGAGGCACUGGGUUUGAUCCCUGCCAAACA